rnacentral:rRNA from 1 species
UACGAAGGGUGCAAACGUUGCUCGGAAUCAUUGGGCGUAAAGCGCACGUAGGCGGCUUUGCAAGUCGGACGUGAAAUCCCUCAGCUCAACUGAGGACGUGCAUCCGAAACUGCAAGGCUUGAGUACUGAAGAGGAUCGCGGAAUUCCCGGUGUAGAGGUGAAAUUCGUAGAUAUCGGGAGGAACACCAGUGGCGAAGGCGGCGAUCUGGGCAGAUACUGACGCUGAGGUGCGAAAGCUAGGGGAGCGAACGGG